GAUGAAAUGAACAUCCUUUCCACAGCGAUGCAGUAUAGAUAUUUCCAACACAAGGACCCUUCUCCCCAGUGACAAGAGAGUUCCUUGCUAAACCAUAGUUCUGUCACCAGCACAUGCAUUGGGUACAGCUUCCUACCUUCCCCUGUGCAUCUUCCUGAGAGCUGGAGAUGACGAGAUCCUCUACUUGUAUUCCCCAGUGAAAAGCUGACAACACUCUAUUGUCUGCCUACUAAUGAGCUUUCUUGUAUGGAAGAUGAUAAAGCAAAAUCUAAUCACAUCUAUGUCCCCAAACACACUUCAGCCCAAGUGGAUUCAGCACAAAUAAAUUAUCGCGCUGUAAGGAUCCCGAGGGAAAAGUUGAUAAGCCAGAUCCCAUUCUCUCCACAUGUGUCUCAAC